UAUGUUUUCUUGUUCAUCUUUUGCAGAUGAGGAAACAAAAGGUUUUGAAGAUGCUGGAUCAGGAAAACUCAUCUAUGCCAUAGUUAUCACUUUUAUACUUUGUCUUGAAAAUAUCCUUCUCAUAAUCUGCUGUGUCAGAUACAAAUGGCCUCCUUACAUUUGGAUCAAGACCCGUGUCAUCAAGUGGAUAUCUUGUAAGAAAUACCAGAAUCCACCGGUUGAAAUGAGGACGCUGGAAGCAGCAGAUCAGCAAAUGGAUCAGAAACAGCAAAGCAGCAAAUGGAUCUGGAACCAGCAAAGCAGUUAAUGGAUCAGGAACCAGCAUCCCCACCUGCGCCGUAGUCAUUAUUUCUGUACUUGGUCUUGUAGCCAUCCUUCUCUUAAUCUUCUCUGUCAUAUUCAAGUGGCUUCUUUACAUUUGGAUCAUGAACCGAGUCAACGAGUGGAUAUCUCCUAAUGAAUACCAGAAUCCACCGACUGAAAUGAGGACGCUGGAAGCAGCAGAUCAGCAAAUGGAUCAGAAACAGCAAAGCAGCAAAUGGAUCUGGAACCAGCAAAGCAGUUAAUGGAUCAGGAACCAGCAUCCCCACCUGCGCCGUAGUCAUUAUUUCUGUACUUGGUCUUGUAGCCAUCCUUCUCUUAAUCUUCUCUGUCAUAUUCAAGUGGCUUCUUUACAUUUGGAUCAUGAACCGAGUCAACGAGUGGAUAUCUCCUAAUGAAUACCAGAAUCCACCGGUUAAUCAUACAAAUGCUAUGUUUUUUUAUUUUUUCUUCUUAUAGACUUUCAAUGAUUGCAUUAGCAUAUUCUGUUGUGUCUGGGGAGAGUCAUUUUCUUUUUGUGCCUUAUGAUGUAACACAUUUGAUGUAGUGGUUUAGCAUCAUCUUUUCAAAAACCCUGCUCAAGUGGUGGGGCAACAAACACAAACCCACCAACACCGGUUGUCAAGUAGUGGGGAGGGAGGACAAACACAGACACAAAGACCCCUUCCCCCAUACACACAUAUGUCUGUGAUUAUAAUUUAAUGCAACUCAUUUUUAUUAUGGAUGUUCAGAUAAUGCAUGCACCAUGACAUAUAGUAACCACCCAGGGGCAAUACCUGGGGCACAUCUACACAUGAAUGCUCCAAUGACUUGCCUCAUGACUUUCACAAAAAUCUAUAUUUUUUAAGGAAAUUUUCUACAAAUCCACUUCAGAUGGUGUAGAUUCUUUUUAUACUGGAAUUUGAUGUGACAAAAUUUUCUGCCAAAAAAUGGGAUUUGUGUUAGUACGUAUCCCACCAAUUUAUUUUUUCAUAUUAAAUUCUGAUAUAAUUACAAUCUACAAACUCUGAAAGGAAGAAAUUUUCACUUUUCUGAAAUCUAUGAAGAGACAAAGUCAGUGGAGCAUAUCUGUGUGUGUGUGUGUGCUUAUUGCUUUAAUCUAAAUAUCUUCAAUUAUAAUUUUAAAGACUACACUUUUAUUAUUAUUAUUGCCUUUGUUUCAAUACAUUUUGGAAAUAGUAAAGAAUUCAAUGAAAUAACCUCGCCCUUACUAAGCUAGUGUUUGGAACACAAGUUUAUUUGAAGCCUUGAUGGAAGGUUUUUCUUUAGAUCUCUUUAAAACAGGGAAUUCAUACAAUAAAAACAAAGGCAGUUUUGAGCAGGUUGGGAUCAAAAGGGUUCAGCCUUAUUGAUAUUACUAUCUUUUAUUAAAAACAAAAAGUAUAUGUUUUCUUGUUCAUCUUUUGCAGAUGAGGAAACAACAAGAUUUGGAUCUAAUGUAUCCAGAUGUAUCCUACUUACUACAGAUAGCGAAACAACAUUUAAGAAGUUGAUUAUCCGAGUGGGAUCACUGCCAGAGCAGCUGUCUGGCUUCCGUUCCGGUGGGCAUGUGAAAAGCACCAUUUGAGCGUGAUCAUUACCAGCGUCGCCUUACUGGCAUGUGAACAAAACAUCCUAGCGAGGUCGUUGCCAGUGCCGCUGGACUGACUCCUGUGCACGUGGCACAUAAAGAAAAAAAACCAUUCUGUGAAUUCCAUUUUUCAACAUUGGCCAACCUUGUUAUAGACCUUCACAGAUUUCCAUGCUGGCAUGGGGCUGGACGCUUUGACCAGAGGUCAUCAGCUGAGAAGCUGCACCGGGUCCCUGUCUGAUUCAGCUUCAUUUCUAUGGCUGGAUGACCUUUCUAAUGCCAACCACUCCUGAGAGCGUCCUAGGUGCUACUGGUAGGUGGGUUUUACCACAUGGCAGAAGAACAAGCCAACCCUCUCCACUAGAGUGUGUUUCUUUAACACUCAGGCUGUGGUGGUUGGGUCUCCUUCAGUACAGGUCCCCUUCAGUACUGGUUGGCUAUAAUUUUAGAAACCCUGAAAUUCAUAUUCAGGAAAUAUUCUUUUCUCUAAGCACAAAACCCGAAAUUUUGGGAGAGGGGAUCAGUCGCUUAGGUCGAACCCAGUAUGCAACUGCUACUUAAUUUAUUGACCCUGA